rnacentral:rRNA from 1 species
CGGACGGGUGAGUAACGCGUGGAUAACCUGCCGUAUACUGGGGGAUAACACUUAGAAAUAGGUGCUAAUACCGCAUAAGCGCACAGUCUCGCAUGAGACGGUGUGAAAAACUCCGGUGGUAUACGAUGGAUCCGCGUCUGAUUGGCUUGUUGGCGGGGUAACAGCCCACCAAGGCGACGAUCAGUAGCCGGCCUGAGAGGGUGAACGGCCACAUUGGGACUGAGACACGGCCCAAACUCCUACGGAAGGCAGCAG